rnacentral:misc_RNA from 1 species
AAAAAAAAAGGCUGUAUUGCAUAAGUAGCUCAAAUUCGAAACUUAAGUUAAUCUCCAAGACUCAUAAUCAACAAAAAGCAGAACAUAAUACUUCAAAAACUAGGAUGUAAUGUAACAAAAGUUCAAAUUUUUACUCACUCCAGUACUUCUCUUCACCAUCUUUAUGAUCUUUUUGAUCUUCAAAUCCUUUAUCCAAACUCAUCUUAAACUUGUUCACAUCCUCCACAGCUGCAUUUCUAAACAACGCGAUAUCUACUGCUCCUGAAACCAUAUGGUACCCUCUUGAUUUCAAAUUCUCAGGACUAUCAUGAGGCAUUGCAAAUCCAGAUAAAUACGCCCCACCGUCAAGUGGCUUCUUCUUCAAUGCUCCUUUUUCAGCUGUAUUCAUCAUCUCCUUCACUUUCUUAUUCCCAGGAUCCCAUAAGUACCCUAAACUCGCACUCAAAUCCAAUGGUCCCAUUUGAAUACAAUCAACCCCUUCCACUGCUGCAAUUUCAUCAAUCUUCUUCACUCCAUCUACACACUCAACUUGACACAUGAUCAGUAGAUCAUCCUCGUAAUUACUCAAAUACCCUUCAUCAAUUCCAUAGCUCGAAGCUCUAACAACAGUAUGAGCAGAUCCACGUACGCCAUUAGGCGGGAAACGGCAGUAAGACACUGCCUUUCGGGCUGAUUUCGGACCGUCGAUCAUCGGAAACAUAAUGCCCUGUGGGCCGAGAUCGAGGGCUUUUUUAGCCCAAGUAGCUGAGGAUUCAGGGAUACGGAGAAUAGCUGGGGUUUGAGUAGCGGCUAAGGCAUGAAGACAAGGGAGUGCAUCGGAGAUACCUCCGUGACCAUGUUCCAUAUCGACGACGGCGAAGUCGUAUCCGGCGAGUCCAGCGAUCUCAGCGAGGGUUGGAGAGAAACCGAGAAGGAAAAUGCCGUAAAGGGUUUCUCCAUUUUUCAAGCGAGUUUUGAGGGAUUGUCUAACUUCGGCGGAAUCGGCGGUGGCGGCAACAGCGGAGGAGAAUCGGCGUGGUAGGGAGGGUUUGAAGAUUGGGUUUACCGUUUUGAGUGAUGAAGGUUUUGG